rnacentral:rRNA from 1 species
UAGGAUCUCGUAGUGACCUGCGGAGGGACAUUACACAAAUAUGAAGGCGGGCUGGAACCUCUCGGGGUUACAGCCUUGCUGAAUUAUUCACCCUUGUCUUUUGCGUACUUCUUGUUUCCUUGGUGGGUUCGCCCACCACUAGGACAAACAUAAACCUUUUGUAAUUGCAAUCAGCGUCAGUAACAAAUUAAUAAUUACAACUUUCAACAACGGAUCUCUUGGUUCUGGCAUCGAUGAAGAACGCAGCGAAAUGCGAUAAGUAGUGUGAAUUGCAGAAUUCAGUGAAUCAUCGAAUCUUUGAACGCACAUUGCGCCCUUUGGUAUUCCAAAGGGCAUGCCUGUUCGAGCGUCAUUUGUACCCUCAAGCUUUGCUUGGUGUUGGGCGUCUUGUCUCUAGCUUUGCUGGAGACUCGCCUUAAAGUAAUUGGCAGCCGGCCUACUGGUUUCGGAGCGCAGCACAAGUCGCACUCUCUAUCAGCAAAGGUCUAGCAUCCAUUAAGCCUUUUUUUCAACUUUUGACCUCGGAUCAGGUAGGGAUACCCGCUGAACUUAA